rnacentral:rRNA from 1 species
AUUGAACGCUGGCGGAAUGCUUUACACAUGCAAGUCGAACGGCAGCACGGGGGCAGCCCUGGUGGCGAGUGGCGAACGGGUGAGUAAUACAUCGGAACGUGCCCGGUCGUGGGGGAUAACGUAGCGAAAGUUACGCUAAUACCGCAUACGAUCUGAGGAUGAAAGCGGGGGACCUUCGGGCCUCGCGCGAUCGGAGCGGCCGAUGUCAGAUUAGGUAGUUGGUGGGGUAAAGGCCUACCAAGCCGACGAUCUGUAGCUGGUCUGAGAGGACGACCAGCCACAAUGGGAAUGGACCCCCGCCCAGACUCCUACGGGGGGCAGGGGGGGGGAAUUUUGGAAAAGGGGGGAAAGCCUGAUCCAGCCAUUCCGCGUGGAGGAAGAAGGCCUUGGGGUUGUAAACUGCUUUUGUACGGAACAAAAAGGCUCUGGUAAAUACCGGGGGCUCAUGACGGUACCGUAAGAAAAAGCCCCGGCAAACUACG